rnacentral:rRNA from 1 species
UACGGAGGGUGCAAGCGUUGUCCGGAAUCAUUGGGCGUAAAGCGCACGUAGGCGGCUCUUUAAGUCUCUUGGUGAAAGGCUGGGGCUCAACCCCAUGCAUGCCGGGGAUACUGGGGAGCUUGAGACAGGUAGAGGCCAGCGGAAUUCCGGGUGUAGCGGUGGAAUGCGUAGAGAUCCGGAAGAACACCGGAGGCGAAGGCGGCUGGCUGGACCUGAUCUGACGCUGAGGUGCGAAAGCGUGGGGAGCGAA